UCCUUGGUCAUGUGCGGGUACUCCUGACCGACGAUCUUGAUGUUUCUGGUCAGGAGGCCGACGUCCGCGGCCAGAGUGUAGGAGCGGGACGUUCCGGAGACCGAGUGAGUCUCACCUGGGCAGAGACGGAGGGACAGAGCUGCUGGUGGAGAGAGAUGCUGAGCUCACCGAUGUGGGUGUGGGUCAAAGGCUGGUUCAGGGUCAGGACGCGGCCGUCUGUCGUCACGGCGCUGAUCUCACGUUUCUCCGUCUCCCAGGCGCUGUAGCUGGUGGUGGAGAUGAGGACUUCGCCUCCAACCUGCGCCCACGAAACGACAAAACACCCCACAACAGAGCUCCACCAGAGAGUCUCUGUUACAGCGGACGAGAGCGUUCCCUCACCCAGGACUUUGGAUCCCUGGUUGGGUCCGUUUGGCAGAGGCCAGUCCGGAGUGCGGUGGUUCCCCCUCAGUUUGAUGUGCAGCUCGCCCCUGAACGGCUCGUCGUCCCGUCCAGCAAUCAGCCUUCCUCCCUGCGGCGACAGCAAGACGUCACCUCACUGAACCAUUCACUGAUCAUCUACUGACUUUGUUGGAUUCUCUCUCGAUGGCACUCGAUCGAUCGAUCACACUGACCUGGAUGGAGAUGUACACGGCGUCUAUCGCCACCGUACUGUACACCGGGGCGGACCGAGCCGCUCUGCUGGACGAGCUGU